rnacentral:rRNA from 1 species
AACGAACGCUGGCGGCAGGCUUAACACAUGCAAGUCGAGCGCACCUUCGGGUGAGCGGCGGACGGGUUAGUAACGCGUGGGAACAUACCCUUUGGUACGGAAUAGCCUCUGGAAACGGAGAGUAAUACCGUAUGAGCCCUUCGGGGGAAAGAUUUAUCGCCAAAGGAUUGGCCCGCGUUAGAUUAGGUAGUUGGUGGGGUAAUGGCCUACCAAGCCUACGAUCUAUAGCUGGUUUUAGAGGAUGAUCAGCAACACUGGGACUGGGACACGGCCCAG